UGUUAAUUUACAUAUAUUAGCAGGGCAUUUCUCCAACUUUAAGGGCAAAUGUUCCUCGUUGAUAAAGUCUGAAGAUUACGCAAUUAAGGGAUAUUUUUUUAUCCGUGAAUAAGCAAUAAAGCUUUCACCAAAUUUUAACUCCUGCGCCAAAUGAGUUGGCCACAAUUAAAGUCCACUUUAAAAAUAUACAUUGAAAAAAGAAAAGUUUAAAAAAAAAAAAAAAAUACUCAAGCGCAGCGACACAUACACACAUUUCUCUGCAGUAGGGGAGCGACGAAGACCAGCAACCAGCUAGCAGCGAGCGAGUUCGAACAUUGAAGUUGAAUUCUACCAGCGAUCGAGCAUGGACGAAGGAAUACAUGAUACAUCUGAUGCGAUUUUGAGGUUAGAACUGGCCAGAUGAGUUAAAGAACAGGAUCCAUUAUCACCAGUUCAUUAGGAGCAGAAGGAUCAGAAUCUCUAUGGUUUAUGGUUGCAGUCUACAGCAAAGGUGGACAUUUUUAGCAAAGAAUUCCAAUCCUAUGCUAUUUGGAUCAGUCACUUUUUUUGUAGCGUGAGAAAGAGAUGGCAGCUAUGGAAAUAGGAAAGAUUUUUUCAGCACUUGUUAUAAUGUCUUCCUCAGCCCUUACCACCUAGCAUCUCUUCAUAUUGAUUAUCCAAUAUUGUUUGAGCUUCGCAAUGCUGCUGUUGAAAGAAGUUCUCAUUGUCGGGUUUUGGUGUCCAUUGCAGAAGAAGGCAUAAUAUAUAUGCCUUACUGGAAUUGCUUUCUUGUAGAUGCUGGAGAACCUACUCUUACAAGGAGGAGACAUUGUGCGAGUGAAAAAUGUGACUCUUCCAAAGGGGACACAUGUUAAAAAUCGACCCCACACGAAGAACUACUUGGAUAUUUCCAACCCAAAAGCUAUGUCAGUUCAUGAUUCUCACGUUUAUUUUCCAAUUGGGUUAUAUGAUAUUUAGUCAGCCAUUAGUCUGUGUUGCUUCAGCUUGGGAGGAAAUCUUGAUGGUAAUUCAUAAUAUGAUGUUGUGCUGUGUAUCAUUUCACAAUGCUCCCAGACAAACCGGUACUGGUGCAUUAAUAACUAUGCUAUAAGUUUUUUUUUUUUUUGAAUAAUAAAGCAAACACAUACCCCCUUUUGCCCAUGCCCAGGCUCGAACCCCUCCCCUCCUCUUUAAUGCGACGUGUCCACUGGUAGUAGCGAGGAUCACAUUUAAUACUUCUGCCGUAUCAAGGUUUGUUUAUAUAAUGAAGCUUUUAGGGGGUUUCAUCAA